GGAAAGAGGGUAGAUAGCGGCACAGCUAUCUGCAGUCGAGCGAGUCUCUUCGGAGGCUAGCGGCGGACGGGUGAGUAACACGUAGGCAACCUGCCUCUCAGACUGGGAUAACAUAGGGAAACUUAUGCUAAUACCGGAUAGGUUUUUGGAUCGCAUGAUCCGAAAAGAAAAGAUGGCUUCGGCUAUCACUGGGAGAUGGGCCUGCGGCGCAUUAGCUAGUUGGUGGGGUAACGGCCUACCAAGGCGACGAUGCGUAGCCGACCUGAGAGGGUGACCGGCCACACUGGGACUGAGACACGGCCCAGACUCCUACGGGAGGCAGCAGUAGGGAAUUUUCCACAAUGGACGAAAGUCUGAUGGAGCAACGCCGCGUGAACGAUGAAGGUCUUCGGAUUGUAAAGUUCUGUUGUUAGGGACGAAUAAGUACCGUUCGAAUAGGGCGGUACCUUGACGGUACCUGACGAGAAAGCCACGGCUAACUACGUGCCAGCAGCCGCGGGUAAUACGUAGGUGGCAAGCGUUGUCCGCAUUUAUUGGGCGUAAAAGCGCGCGCAGGCGGGCUAUGUAAGUCUGGUGUUAAAGCCCGGGGCUCAACCCCGGGUUCGCAUCGGGAAACUGUGUAGCUUGAGUGCAGAAGAGGAAAGCGGGUAUUCCACGUGUAGCGGUGAAAAUGCGUAGAGAUGUGGAGGAACACCAGUGGCGGAGGCGGCUUUCUGGGUCUGUACCUGACGCUGAGGCGCGGAAGCGUGGGGAGCAACCAGGAAUUACAUACCCUGGCUAGUCGACGUCCGUAAACGAUGAGUGCUAAGUGUUGGGCUUUCAAUACCCCUCAGUUGCGGCAGCUAACGCAUAGAGCACCUCCGGCCUGGGGAAGUACGGCUCGGCAGAAGUGCAAACCGUCGAAGGGAAUUGGACAGGGUGACCUGCACAGGCCGGUUGCAGCUAUUGUGACUUAAUUCGAACCGAACGCAGACUAGCUUAACAGGGUCCUAGGACAUGCCGCGUGAACGCUCUGGGAGACAGAGCUACCUUCCGGGGCACGCGGUUGACAGAG
rnacentral:rRNA from 1 species